UCUUGAAAUUUUAAAUAACUAAUAUUAUAAUUAUUAAUGUCUUUAUGACUAUGGCAAUAAACGUUGUAUAUAAUAGAUGAUAUGGACCCGAGGGCGGUACUCGGCACCUCCACCAGUUUUUAUAAUUAUCAUAUAAGGGGGUGAAUUAGCUUCGACAUACAUUGAAAGGUACAAUUUUUGCUCGGCAAGAUACGACCGCAACAGUUCAAAAACAUAAAUGCAGAAGACAAUUUUGCAGGUCAAUUAGCCGCUUAACCUUCGGGUUAUUCCAAUAGGAAUUUAGACUAAUUGUCAGCGGUCCGGAGAGAACCGUUUAACAAAAUCUCUCCA
rnacentral:tmRNA from 1 species